UUAAAUUCAAUAAAAAUUCUGCAUGUUAUGCAUAUACCAUGAAUAAAUUCUAUACUAUGUAUCCCUUUCAUUCCACUUUCAUACAACAAGUAAAACCUCAUAAAUCAUGUGCAUUAAAAGAAAAAUUCAGCAUUCAUGUAUGUAAGACCCCAAUUUUGUCCCUAAGAUCCCUCAUGGCAUCAUAUCAUAUCAUUGCAUUGCCUCAAGGAUCAUUGAACACCUUGCCUACUUCCUUGUGGGCGGGUUAUCUUUUUGAGAGUGAUUCUUG
rnacentral:lncRNA from 1 species